GGAAGAGCAAGCGAACAAGCCUGUAGCCACCUCUCUUCUCUCUCUUUCUCCCCGUAUCUGUUCCUCGCUCGCGCUGUAUCUUCACAUAAAUAAAAAUUAAUUUUUUUAAUUAAAAAUACGCAUCGAUUAAUUAAUCAAUUAAAACCUAAAUAACAUCAAAAAAACAAAAUUUCCUUUUUUGGGUCUCUUCUUUCUUUCUUUUGCUGCUCCUUGGACCUCUUUCUCUAUCCAUCGUCUCUUUCUCUCUCUAGAGUCUCAGAGCUUGCCCAUAACCCAUUUCACAAAGCUCAGGUUUGUAUCUCCAUUCGAUCUGUACGCUGUCGUUUCCAAUUCUUCUUUUUGUCUCGAUUUCUGUCUCUGUGUAUAUAUAGUUUUAAUUUUUCGUACGUUGUUUUCUUUUCCGGUGUUUUGGGGCUUGGUUUUGAUCGGGGUUUUUGGGAUUUUUUUGUGAAUUCGAUCUUAAGUUUCUGGUCCCAAAUUUUAGAAGGGUUUUAAUUAGCGUGUGUUUAAUGCAAUAGGGUAUAUACGAUGGCUUUGUUUUGCACGAGUUUUAAUUUUUUUUUUCCCGCAAUCAGUUAUUUUUUUUGAGGUUGAGUAUUUAUAUAUAUAUAUAUACUGAGAAAUUAGGGUUUAUUGCAAAUUGGUUUUUGGAUGUGGGUUUUUGAAUUUGACGAUUGUGUAUGCUGGGUUUUCUUUUUUUGCUUGGUAAAUCGAGGGUUUGAGAAUUAAAGAGUUGACAUGAAUGCAUCCGAUGUUGUUUUGGGGUUUGGGAAUUUAAGACUUUGAGCCGAAUGGUUGUUUAAAAUUUGGUGAAGUGGAGGUUUCUUGUUUUAUGUAUUUCCAGUGGUGGAAGAUUGAGAAAUGCAUAAUUUAUUCUUCUUUGAGCUCCCUAAAUUUUCAGCAUCGAAACAGAUGGUUUUUAAAAUGUGGUGUAUAGUGGAUUGACACUUGAAGCAGUUUGGUAAAAUAUGUUUUGAUUUGAGGAUUUAUUCGUGUUUUGCAAAAAAUAGGUAAAAAUAAUCCUCUAAAAUGCUCAAUGUUUAUUGUCAUUCAUAUUCAGUUUCAAGAGCUAAUUUUUUACUGAACGGUUAUGUUUGUGAAAUUAGUAAAAUGUUUCAUGCCAUAUAAAUCAAGACACGAGGGCUAAUUUUGUUU
rnacentral:misc_RNA from 1 species